rnacentral:rRNA from 1 species
UCGAGAAUCUUCGGCAAUGGACGCAAGUCUGACCGAGCGAUGCCGCGUGCGGGAUGAAGGCCCUCGGGUUGUAAACCGUGAAAGUGAGAAGGAAGGCUCUGUGAAGAGCAGAGUUUGACCAAACCACAGUAAGGACGGGCUAAGUUCGUGCCAGCAGCCGCGGUAACACGAACCGUCCAAACGUUAUUCGGAAUCAUUGGGCUUAAAGGGUGCGUAGGCGGCGCGUUAAGUCAGGUGUGAAAUCCCUCAGCUCAACUGAGGAACUGCGCUUGAUACUGGCGUGCUCGAGGGAGACAGGGGUGAGCGGAACUGAUGGUGGAGCGGUGAAAUGCGUUGAUAUCAUCAGGAACACCGGUGGCGAAAGCGGCUCACUGGGUCUCUUCUGACGCUGAGGCACGAAAGCUAGGGUAGCGAACGGGAUUAGAUACCCCCGUAGUCC